GUGAACGCUGGCGGUAGGCCUAACACCUGCAAGUCGAACGGCAGCACAGUAAGAGCUUGCUCUUACGGGUGGCGAGUGGCGGACGGGUGAGGAAUACAUCGGAAUCUACUUUUUCGUGGGGGAUAACGUAGGGAAACUUACGCUAAUACCGCAUACGACCUACGGGUGAAAGCAGGGGAUCUUCGGACCUUGCGCGAUUGAAUGAGCCGAUGUCGGAUUAGCUAGUUGGCGGGGUAAAGGCCCACCAAGGCGACGAUCCGUAGCUGGUCUGAGAGGAUGAUCAGCCACACUGGAACUGAGACACGGUCCAGACUCCUACGGGAGGCAGCAGUGGGGAAUAUUGGACAAUGGGCGCAAGCCUGAUCCAGCCAUACCGCGUGGGUGAAGAAGGCCUCCGGGUUGUAAAGCCCUUUUGUUGGGAAAGAAAAGCAGCAGGUUAAUACCCCGCUGUUCUGACGGUACCCAAAGAAUAAGCACCGGCUAACUUCGU
rnacentral:rRNA from 1 species